UACGUAGGGUGCGAGCGUUGUCCGGAAUUAUUGGGCGUAAAGAGCUUGUAGGCGGUUUGUCGCGUCUGCUGUGAAAAUCCGGGGCUCAACCCCGGACUUGCAGUGGGUACGGGCAGACUAGAGUGCGGUAGGGGAGACUGGAAUUCCUGGUGUAGCGGUGGAAUGCGCAGAUAUCAGGAGGAACACCGAUGGCGAAGGCAGGUCUCUGGGCCACUACUGACGCUGAGAAGCGAAAGCAUGGGGAGCGAACAGG
rnacentral:rRNA from 1 species